rnacentral:rRNA from 1 species
GGUUAAGUUAAUAAGGGCGCACGGUGGAUGCCUUGGCACUAGAAGCCGAUGAAGGACGUGACUAACGACGAAAUGCUUUGGGGAGCUGUAAGUGAGCAAUGAUCCAGAGAUGUCCGAAUGGGGGAACCCGGCAGGUAAUGCCUGUCACUCAUUACUGUUAAGGUAAUGUAGAGGAAGACGCAGUGAACUGAAACAUCUAAGUAGCUGCAGGAAGAGAAAGCAAAAGCGAUUGCCUUAGUAGCGGCGAGCGAAACGGCAAGAGGGCAAACCGAAGAGUUUACUCUUCGGGGUUGUAGGACUGCAACGUGGACUUAAAGAUUAUAGAAGAACUACCUGGGAAGGUAGGCCAAAGAGAGUAAUAGCCUCGUAUUCGAAAUAGUCUUUAUACCUAGCAGUAUCCUGAGUACGGCGAGACACGAGAAAUCUCGUCGGAAUCCGGGAGGACCAUCUCCCAACCCUAAAUACUCUCUAGUGACCGAUAGUGAACCAGUACCGUGAGGGAAAGGUGAAAAGCACCCCGGGAGGGGAGUGAAAUAGAACCUGAAACCGUGUGCCUACAACAAGUUCGAGCCCGUUAAUGGGUGAGAGCGUGCCUUUUGUAGAAUGAACCGGCGAGUUACGAUAUGAUGCGAGGUUAAGUUGAAGAGACGGAGCCGUAGGGAAACCGAGUCUUAAUAGGGCGCAUUAGUAUCAUGUCGUAGACCCGAAACCAUGUGACCUACCCAUGAGCAGGUUGAAGGUGAGGUAAAACUCACUGGAGGACCGAACCAGGGCACGUUGAAAAGUGCUUGGAUGACUUGUGGGUAGCGGAGAAAUUCCAAACGAACUUGGAGAUAGCUGGUUCUCUCCGAAAUAGCUUUAGGGCUAGCGUCGAUGUUAAGUCUCUUGGAGGUAGAGCACUGUUUGGGUGAGGGGUCCAUCCCGGAUUACCAAUCUCAGAUAAACUCCGAAUGCCAAUGAGAUAUAAUCGGCAGUCAGACUGCGAGUGCUAAGAUCCGUAGUCGAAAGGGAAACAGCCCAGACCACCAGCUAAGGUCCCAAAAUAUAUGUUAAGUGGAAAAGGAUGUGGGGUUGCACAGACAACUAGGCCCUGCGCCGAAAAUGUACCGGGGCUAAAACAUAUUACCGAAGCUGUGGAUACCUUUAUAGGUAUGGUAGGAGAGCGUUCUAUGUGCGAAGAAGGUGUACCGUGAGGAGUGCUGGAGCGCAUAGAAGUGAGAAUGCCGGUAUGAGUAGCGAAAGACAGGUGAGAAUCCUGUCCACCGUAAGACUAAGGUUUCCAGGGGAAGGCUCGUCCGCCCUGGGUUAGUCGGGACCUAAGGAGAGACCGAAAGGUGUAUCCGAUGGACAACAGGUUGAUAUUCCUGUACUAGAGUAUAUAGUGAUGGAGGGACGCAGUAGGCUAACUAAACCAGACGAUUGGAAGUGUCUGGCCAAGCAGUGAGGUGUGAUAUGAGUCAAAUGCUUAUAUCUAUAACAUUGAGCUGUGAUGGGGAGCGAAGUUUAGUAGCGAAGUUAGUGAUGUCACACUGCCAAGAAAAGCUUCUAGCGUUAAUUAUACUCUACCCGUACCGCAAACCGACACAGGUAGUCGAGGCGAGUAGCCUCAGGUGAGCGAGAGAACUCUCGUUAAGGAACUCGGCAAAAUGGCCCCGUAACUUCGGGAGAAGGGGCGCUGACUUAUGGUCAGCCGCAGUGAAUAGGCCCAAGCAACUGUUUAUCAAAAACACAGCUCUCUGCUAAAUCGUAAGAUGAUGUAUAGGGGGUGACGCCUGCCCGGUGCUGGAAGGUUAAGAGGAGUGCUUAGCGUAAGCGAAGGUAUGAAUUGAAGCCCCAGUAAACGGCGGCCGUAACUAUAACGGUCCUAAGGUAGCGAAAUUCCUUGUCGGGUAAGUUCCGACCCGCACGAAAGGCGUAAUGAUUUGGGCACUGUCUCAACGAGAGACUCGGUGAAAUUUUAGUACCUGUGAAGAUGCAGGUUACCCGCGACAGGACGGAAAGACCCCAUGGAGCUUUAC